AGAUUGAUCAUGGCUAGGGAUGAACGCUAGCUACAGGCUUAACACAUGCAAGUCGAGGGGCAGCAUAACGAAAGCUUGCUUUUGUUGAUGGCGACCGGCGCACGGGUGAGUAACGCGUAUCCAACCUUCCCUAUACUAGAGGAUAGCCCGGCGAAAGUCGGAUUAAUACUCUAUGUUGUAUUUCGAGGACAUCUGAAUAAUACCAAAGGUUUACCGGUAUAGGAUGGGGAUGCGUCUGAUUAGGUUGUUGGCGGGGUAACGGCCCACCAAGCCCACGAUCAGUAGGGGUUCUGAGAGGAAGGUCCCCCACAUUGGAACUGAGACACGGUCCAAACUCCUACGGGAGGCAGCAGUGAGGAAUAUUGGUCAAUGGACGAGAGUCUGAACCAGCCAAGUAGCGUGCAGGAUGACGGCCCUAUGGGUUGUAAACUGCUUUUAUACAGGGAUAAAGUGACGUACGUGUACGUUUUUGUAGGUACUGUAUGAAUAAGGACCGGCUAAUUCCGUGCCAGCAGCCGCGGUAAUACGGAAGGUCCGGGCGUUAUCCGGAUUUAUUGGGUUUAAAGGGAGCGCAGGCUGAUGAUUAAGCGUGACGUGAAAUGUAGCCGCUCAACGGCUGAACUGCGUCGCGAACUGGUUAUCUUGAGUGAGUUCGAUGUUGGCGGAAUUCGUGGGUGUAGCGGUGAAAUGCUUAGAUAUCACGAAGAACUCCGAUUGCGAACGCAGCCA
rnacentral:rRNA from 1 species